UACGAAGGGGGCUAGCGUUGCUCGGAAUCACUGGGCGUAAAGCGCGCGCAGGCGGUGCGGUAAGGCUGCCGUGAAAUCGCCCGGCUCAACUGGGCGGGUGCGGUGGCGACUGCCGGACUGGAGGGACUCAGAGGCCGGUGGAAUUCCCGGUGUAGUGGUGAAAUGCGUAGAGAUCGGGAGGAACACCAGUGGCGGAAGGCGGCCGGCUGGGGGUGCCCUGACGCUGAGGCGCGAAAGCGUGGGGAGCGAACCGG
rnacentral:rRNA from 1 species